rnacentral:rRNA from 1 species
CAGUCGCCGCGGGAAUACGUAGGGUGCAAGCGUUAUCCGGAUUCACUGGGUUUAAAGGGUGCGUAGGCGGAUCUGUAAGUCAGUGGUGAAAUCUCCAGGCUUAACCUGGAAACUGCCGUUGAUACUAUAGGUCUUGAAUUUUGUGGAGGUUAGCGGAAUAUGUCAUGUAGCGGUGAAAUGCAUAGAUAUGACAUAGAACACCAAUUGCGAAGGCAGCUGGCUACACAACUAUUGACGCUGAGGCACGAAAGCGUGGGGAUCAAACAGGAUUAGAUACCCCCGUAGUCCCUGUCUCUUAUAC